rnacentral:rRNA from 1 species
CCAUUAGAUGUUCUGGGCAGCACGCGCGCUAAAAUGGUCUUCGCAAACGGAUGCAUUCUCGAAGGAGAAUGCCAAUCUUGGAAUCUAUGCCUUGGUCGGGACAGUUGCUUGCAAUUUUUCGACUCGAACCAGGAAUUCCUUGUAAUCGUGAUUCAUCACAUCACGAUGAAUACGUCCCUGCCCUUUGUACACACCGCCCGUCGCUCCUACCGAUCGAAGAGUUAGGUGAAUUGUUUUGAUCGAUAAGAUUUGACUAUGGUCAACUCUCGUUGUGAAAUUCUGUGAAUCUGACUGUUUAGAGGAAGGAAAAGUCGUAACA